rnacentral:rRNA from 1 species
UACGUAGGGGGCAAGCGUUGUCCGGAAUCAUUGGGCGUAAAGAGCGUGUAGGCGGCCCGGUAAGUCCGCUGUGAAAGUCGAGGGCUCAACCCUCGAAUGCCGGUGGAUACUGUGAGGCUAGAGUACGGAAGAGGCGAGUGGAAUUCCUGGUGUAGCGGUGGAAUGCGCAGAUAUCAGGAGGAACACCAAUAGCGAAGGCAGCUCGCUGGGACGUUACUGACGCUGAGACGCGAAAGCGUGGGGAGCGAACAGG